ensembl:lncRNA
UGACCAGGGAUGUUCUCUGUUUAGUGAGUCCUCCAAAUCAGAGGCAGUAGGGAUGACCAGGGAUGUUCUCUGUUUAGUGAGUCCCCCAGAUCAGAGGCAGUAGGGAUGACCAGGGAUGUUCUCUGUUUAGUGAGUCCUCCAGAUCAGAGGCAGUAGUGAUGACCAGGGAUGUUCUCUGUUUAGUGAGUCCCCCAGAUCAGAGACAGUAGUGAUGACCAGGGAUGUUCUCUGUUUAGUGAGUCCUCCAGAUCAGAGGCAGUAGGGAUGACCAGGGAUGUUCUCUGUUUAGUGAGUCCUCCAAAUCAGAGGCAGUAGGGAUGACCAGGGAUGUUCUCUGUUUAGUGAGUCCUCCAGAUCAGACAGUGUAGGGAUGACCAGGGAUGUUCUCUGUUUAGUGAGUCCUCCAAAUCAGAGGCAGUAGAGAUUACCAGGGAUGUUCUCUGUUUAGUGAGUGUGCCAGAUCAGAGGCAGUAGGGAUGACCAGGGAUGUUCUCUGUUUAGUGAGUGUGCCAGAUCAGAGCCAGUAGGGAUGACCAGGGAUGUUCUCUGUUUAGUGAGUCCCCCAGAUCAGAGGCAGUAGGGAUGACCAGGGAUGUUCUCUGUU